AACGAACGCUGGCGGCAUGCCUAACACAUGCAAGUCGAACGAGACCUUCGGGUCUAGUGGCGCACGGGUGCGUAACGCGUGGGAACCUGCCCUUAGGUUCGGAAUAACUCCCCGAAAGGGGUGCUAAUACCGGAUAAUGUCUUCGGACCAAAGAUUUAUCGCCUUUGGAUGGGCCCGCGUUGGAUUAGCUAGUUGGUAGGGUAAAAGCCUACCAAGGCGACGAUCCAUAGCUGGUCUGAGAGGAUGAUCAGCCACACUGGGACUGAGACACGGCCCAGACUCCUACGGGAGGCAGCAGUGGGGAAGAUUGGACAAUGGGCGAAAGCCUGAUCCAGCAAUGCCGCGUGAGUGAUGAAGGCCUUAGGGUUGUAAAGCUCUUUUACCCGGGAUGAUAAUGACAGUACCGGGAGAAUAAGCUCCGGCUAACUCCGU
rnacentral:rRNA from 1 species